CUCUCGCCUCGCUUCGAUCGGACUCGGACUCGGACGCGGAUUCUGACUCGGACGUGGAUGCGGACACUCAUCCGCCGCUGUAAUUACCGUCGUUCCGUUCGCCAUUCGUCUAUCCCCGCCUGCCCGACUGCCCGUUGUCGCGCCAAUUGGAAGCACAUCAAAAGCGCUUAAAAAAAUAUCAAAUAUAAUCGGAACCACGUGUUGAUAAACAUUCUUAAAAUACAAACGCCAGAGUCCGAAAGAAAGGAGAAGCAGGAGAAGAAUACUAAAUCUGCAUCUCUCUCUUGCUGCUGCAUCUCUCCCAUCAACACACACUCUACUAAUCGCAACGAUUGCGUCCCUUUUGCUCUUUUGAAAGACCCGAGCAAAACCAAUUAAAAUACAAACAAAAUUCAAGAACCAUUAAUAAUUCAUUUUCCGUGUUAGUUACCGUCACCGAUUAUUGUUUACACACACACACACAUCUGCAAGCAUAUAUAAUUUCUUCUCUCUCAUUUGUUUUGGGUAAAAAUAUCAAAUUUUUGUAUGAAAUUAAUUCCGUCACGCCGUCUACUACAAUUUGUCAACUAUAAAACUCAACAACAACAACAACAAUAAUAUAAAUCCCACUGCGUCUACAUUAAUGCAACGAUCCACCAAAAGACCUGUUUAGGAGCGCCACCACCAAGGAAUAUACCCAAUUGUCUGCGAUCAAGGUAAGCGCAAGCCACACGAGUCGUGACAAUGCCCGCAAUGCCCGGGCAAUAUUCCAA
rnacentral:sRNA from 1 species